GGAGGGGUGCAAGCGUUAAUCGGGAAUUACUGGGCGUAAAGCGCACGCAGGGCGGUUUGUUAAGUCAGAUGUGAAAUCCCCGGGGCUCAACCUGGGAACUGCAUCUGAUACUGGCAAGCUUGAGUCUCGUAGAGGGGGGUAGAAUUCCAGGUGUAGCGGUGAAAUGCGUAGAGAUCUGGAGGAAUACCGGUGGCGAAGGCGGCCCCCUGGACGAAGACUGACGCUCAGGUGCGAAAGCGUGGGGAGCAAACAGGAUUAGAUACCCUGGUAGUCCACGCCGUAAACGAUGUCGACUUGGAGGUUGUGCCCUUGAGGCGUGGCUUCCGGAGCUAACGCGUUAAGUCGACCGCCUGGGGAGUACGGCCGCAAGGUUAA
rnacentral:rRNA from 1 species